rnacentral:rRNA from 1 species
UACGGAGGGGGCUAGCGUUGUUCGGAAUUACUGGGCGUAAAGGGCGCGUAGGCGGCCACCGCAAGUCGACUGUGAAAUCUCCGGGCUUAACCCGGAAAGGUCAGCCGAUACUGCGGGGCUAGAGUGCAGAAGGGGCAACUGGAAUUCUCGGUGUAGCGGUGAAAUGCGUAGAUAUCGAGAGGAACACCUGCGGCGAAGGCGGGUUGCUGGGCUGACACUGACGCUGAUGUGCGAAAGCUAGGGGAGCGAACGGG